rnacentral:lncRNA from 1 species
CCUUUUUGUUCCUUCCAGGUCUCAGCUGACCGGUCAGGGCCCAUCCUCACCGACAGGCACAUAUCUACCCCGUGCACUGACUCACACGCCAAUCUCUUCUAGAAACCUUCAGAGACACACCCAGAGAGAACGGUCUACCAACCAUCUGAACGUCCCUUAGUCCAGUGAAGGUGACACUAGAAUUAUCCAGGACAGAGUGUGUCUGAAUCUUGGAAGGGUUGGUUGCCGCCUUUGGAGCCCAGGGAGGCCACAGUGGACUGCCGAGUGUUGAGUCACCGGGACAAGGUGGCUCUUCUGGGGAGAGAGCUGCCGUAGGAGCAGUGCGUCACAGAACUGGUAAUUCGCUGGAAACGUGCAUCAUCCCAGUGCUUGUCCUCGACGCAGUGCCUCCCUCCAGCGAGCAUCAGAAGCCUGGGUGCAAACUUUGCAAUUUGAUAUGCAGAAUAUCAGGAGAAGGUGCGUCAAAGGUCAAGGUCUAACACCACUCAUGACUUCAUUGUGUCCCUAAGGCCUUCUUAAGGGAAGCGGGCCACUUCACUUCUUGUCCUGAGCGUAGGGUGGUGAAGAACGCUGGUGAGGGACAGGGGACGUU